GUCUACUUUAUUAAAAAGCGGGGGAACCACUAUUGGGGUGAAUGUCUGUAAUAAUACAGCUAGGGAAGUUAUCUUUCUUUCCGAAUCCGUCAGCUAACCUCGUCGGCGCAAAAAAAGG
rnacentral:sRNA from 1 species